rnacentral:rRNA from 1 species
AGUGAACGCUGGCGGUAGGCCUAACACAUGCAAGUCGAACGGCAGCACAGUAAGAGCUUGCUCUUACGGGUGGCGAGUGGCGGACGGGUGAGGAAUACAUCGGAAUCUACUUUUUCGUGGGGGAUAACGUAGGGAAACUUACGCUAAUACCGCCUACGACCUACGGGUGAAAGCAGGGGAUCUUCGGACCUUGCGCGAUUGAAUGAGCCGAUGUCGGAUUAGCUAGUUGGCGGGGUAAAGGCCCACCAAGGCGACGAUCCGUACCUGGUCUGAGAGGAUGAUCAGCCACACUGGAACUGAGACACGGUCCAGACUCCUACGGGAGGCAGCAGAGGGGAAUAUUAGACAAUAGGCGCAAGCCUGAUCCAGCCAUACCGCGUGGGUGAAGAAGGCCUUCGGGUUGUAAAGCCCUUUUGUUGGGAAAGAAAAGCAGCAGGGUAAUACCCCGCUGUUCUGACGGUACCCAAAGAAUAAGCACCGGCUAACUUCGUG